GACGAACGCUUGCGGCGUGCCUAAGAAAUGCAAGUCGAGCGAGCUCAAGCCUUCGGGCGGAAAGCUAGCGGCGAACGGUCGAGUAACACGUGAGCAACCUGCCCCAAAGCGGGGGAUAGCCCACCGAAAGGUGGAUUAAUACCGCAUGUGGCCGUUCCGGGGCAUCCCGGGACGAUUAAAGCAGCAAUGCGCUUUGGGAUGGGCUCGCGGCCUAUCAGCUUGUUGGUGGGGUAACGGCCUACCAAGGCUACGACGGGUAGCUGGUCUGAGAGGAUGGCCGGCCACACUGGAACUGAGACACGGUCCAGACUCCUACGGGAGGCAGCAGUGGGGAAUAUUGGGCAAUGGGGGAGACCCUGACCCAGCGACGCCGCGUGGAGGAAGAAGGUCUUCGGAUUGUAAACUCCUGUCUUCUGGGACGAAUAAUGACGGUACCAGAGGAGGAAGCCACGGCUAACUACGUG
rnacentral:rRNA from 1 species